rnacentral:rRNA from 1 species
CUGCAACUCGCCUGCACGAAGUCGGAAUUGCUAGUAAUCGUAGGUCAGCAUACUACGGUGAAUACGUUCCCGGGCCUUGUACACACCGCCCGUCAAACCAUGAGAGUUGGCAACACCCGAAGUCGGUAGUCUAACCGCAAGGAGGACGCCGCCGAAGGUGGGGUUGAUGAUUAGGGUUAAGUCGUAACAAGGUAGC